GACGAACGCUGGCGGCGUGCUUAACACAUGCAAGUCGAACGGAAAGGCCCUGCUUGCAGGGUACUCGAGUGGCGAACGGGUGAGUAACACGUGGGUGAUCUGCCCUGCACUUCGGGAUAAGCCUGGGAAACUGGGUCUAAUACCGGAUAGGAGCCAUUUUUAGUGUGAUGGUUGGAAAGUUUUUUCGGUGUAGGAUGAGCUCGCGGCCUAUCAGCUUGUUGGUGGGGUAAUGGCCUACCAAGGCGGCGACGGGUAGCCGGCCUGAGAGGGUGGACGGCCACAUUGGGACUGAGAUACGGCCCAGACUCCCACGGGAGGCAGCAGUGGGGAAUAUUGCACAAUGGGCGCAAGCCUGAUGCAGCGACGCCGCGUGGGGGAUGACGGCCUUCGGGUUGUAAACUCCUUUCGCUAGGGACGAAGCUUUUUGUGACGGUACCUAGAUAAGAAGCACCGGCUAACUACGUG
rnacentral:rRNA from 1 species